UUUUUUUUUAAAUUAUUCUAUUAAAAUUUGUUUUUUUGUGCAAAUUAGGACUUCCUUUGCCAUCAUAGUUCAAGUGGUCAAUGUAUAUGUUUGCAGGAUCUAUACAUGAAUCUGAUACAAAACAUUUCUGUUAAUUUGAGAAUUUUUCAAUCUGUUUAGUUUACAUAUCAAGUGUCAAUGCUUUGCUUACAAUGGUAUGACAACACUUGGUUCUUUUCUAUGUUUUGGUAUUAUAUCAUUUAUAGCCAAUGAUUUCUGCCUCCAAAUUUUUGAAGGUGUGCAGCAUCAUAAUGACAAACAAAAGGAUCACGAAAGGUCUUUAAAACAGAAAUUAGAGCAGAGCAUUUUCAGAUCAUUGUAAGCAAAGCAUGUAAAUCUGUAUUUUAAUCACAUUUAGAACUAUUCUAUAAACAAUCUUCUUCUAUUUUUAGUCUACAUUUUGUUAAGUUUAAUUUAAUUUUGACAUUUUUUUAAUGUUACUAGUAUAGUUUGAAAUGAUUAAAUCCCAUUAUAGAUGCGUUUAUACUAGAAUUAGAUCUGACACUGUGUAUUAAUUAUAUUUGAAUUUGGUUAAGUUGAAAGACUACUGUAUUGCAU
rnacentral:lncRNA from 1 species